AGAAAAGAAUUUUGAGUAUACUGGCUUGCAUCUGAUCCUCCCCUUGUGGCCAGAGCAUUGUAGUAUCAAGACAAUUAGUCCCUAAUGAAACAACAAGGCAGAAGCCAACCAAGCCAUCUGCUAUGGAAGCUGAAGAAGGCUGGAUAAUCCCUUCCUUUUGGCAACAUGUUUACUGAGCUCAACAGCCAUGUGCCUUCCCUCUCUCCCACCACUAACGACUUUGAAUCUUGAAUAAAUGAAGCAAAAGCGCAAUGACAUUUAGAGAUUUUUGAUAGCAGAAUCGACAGAGUGGAGUGUCUAAUAACACAGUACCAAGUGUGCCAGUGAAAUGGAAUCCAGCAGGACAGUGGCAGCAGUCCAGACAUAGUGGCUACAGUGGACAAGGCCGUGAGCGUCCUGUCAGAUAGCAGCAGUGCUCUGAGGUGGAUAAUUAUGGAAGUUCUGUGGCUCUCUUGAUUUUUAUUUAAUUCUUACUGAGCUUGAUUUUCAGCAACCUUUUCCAUGUUUGGAGCAAUUGAGUUCUCUGCCAAUAAAUUUCAUUUCUGUUUAAAUUAAUGAGUUAUAAUCAUAUUCAAGUAAGAAUUGUGACCUAUUCAGAAUUAUAUGAGAUAAAUCAGUACUGGGGCAAGAGGAGAACAUGGAAAUCCAGCAGCCCUUGCUAUGUAUUUUUCCAGCAAUUAAUAAAUGUCACCUGAAAUAAAGUUUUCAUUAAAGGUCAGUCUUAUGGAAUCAAUGUCAACCAGUUCUACACAGCACAUAUGUCUCAAGGGCAUGGAAAACAUUGGAAAGUGUGAAAGCAAUGGAUAGCUGAAGGGAAGAAAAUGACAAUCUAAGGGCCAUCAUUUCUCAACUGAAGUGAUCUGAAGCCUUGCAAUAGUAUUGCUUUAGAGGAUUUCUGCUUUAGAAUAUCUCUUUACUGAGGCAAAUUAAUGCAAUUUCUCGUACUUGAUGUGCAACUUAAUCUGACAAAUGGGCUUCCUAUAUAUCAAUAAACAGAGAACACAGGAAGCAAAUGCUACAAUCACA
rnacentral:lncRNA from 1 species